AAGAUAUAAUUUCAAUUCAUCACAUCUCAAAUAUUGGAAAAGGGUAUGAUUUUGAUCUUUUAACAAUAGAUCAUGACAUGUACAUAAGUUAAAAUAAAGCAUCUGCACAAGAUUCCUAGUGAAAAUUGUAAUAGCCCAUUUUGCCCAGGCCAAAGCACAAAUAAAUAAAAUCCAAAAUAACAAAAAUAUUCAUAAAGUCCAAAUUACAAACAGGCCCAAUAUGACCCAAAUUAGAAAAACCUUGCAGCCCAAAAUGGCCCAAAGCUUAAGCUGUUUCAGAAAAAAAAAAAACCCUAGGGCACCAUGUGCGCCGCACUGCUUCUUCGUGCCCUUGCAGCGCACUCGUCGCCCGAAGCAUGAUAGAUAUCAGCGGCCUUGCACCAAAAUGGCCAGGGUUAUCCCUCCAACGCUCGUUGACCUUGCCAAAACCUGCAAACAGGGCAAAAAGGAGACAAACACGGAAGCAAAGCAAAAGCAAACAAAAACAGCGUGUAAAUCGGCUAUAAAUGGCCUGAGAAAAUAUUGUAAAAAGGGGAGGGGGAUUUUUGUAUGAAAAAAAAGAUUGAAAAAAUAAAAUACAAAAACAGAGGUGAUUCUAAAAGCUUUUUUCAAUUUUUUCCUUUCUGUUCUUAUAUAUUUUUUCUUGAUCUAUUCUUUUCUUCUGAUAUACAUUCGAAAAUAAAAUAAAAAAACAAAUAAGGUAGAAGCGAUUUUCGAUUUCUUUUGGGGUGUUCUUCGAUUAUGUUUUAUGCAUAAGAUAAAAUAAAGAGAGGGAGGGGAGCGUACCUUGUCGUCGGAGCCGUCGAACUCCAUCGUAAUCAAAGCCUUGGUGAGCCCGAAAGCAUAAGAGCGGGGUAGAGGAGAACUUUAGGGCUAUUAUGUUUUUUUAAAAGGGGGAGUGUCUGCUGAGGCUUAGGGAUUUGUUAGAAUCAUUGUUUCUUAUUGAAACAGUGCCGUUU
rnacentral:lncRNA from 1 species